GUCCUUGUUUUUUUUUUGUCUAUUAAAAUAACAAAAUUGAUCAAAUACAGUGUAGAUAUUGUUAAUGUCGUAAAUGACUAUUGUAGCUGGAAACUUUUUAAUGGAAUAUCUAUAUAGGCCCAUUAUCAGCAACCAUCACUCCUGUGUUCCAGUUGUGGUUGCCAAUCCAAGUUUAUCAUUUUAAAAGGCUAAUUGAUCAUUAGAAAACUCUUUUGCAAUUAUGUUGGCACAGCUGAAAACUGUUGUCAUGAUUAAAUAAGCAAUAAAACUGGGCCUUUCUUUAGACUAGUUGAGUAUCUGGAGCAUCGGCAUUUGUGGGUUCGAUUCCAGGAUGCUGGCCUUCUAGGCAGAGUUGCAAAGAAAAGCCUCAUCUCAGAAUGACCAAUAAAAAUAAAAUAUUAAGAUGUGCAAAAGAACAGACACUGGACAGAGGAACUCUAUUUAAUUAACCUGUCAGUUGUGGACUUGUGAGGCGUCUGUUUCUCAAACUAGACACACUAAUGUACUUGUCUUGCUCAGUUAUGCACCGGUGUUAAGCUGAGCGACACGGUGGAACCUAAGACCAAGCUCAGAGAAGGAAACAGGGAUGAAUUAACCAACAUAUUUAUUGUUACAUGGGGAGAUAUGGAGUGCAGAUCCGGGGAAGCUCAGAUGAGUUGCAGAAAAACUUGAUGUGGAGACUGAGGUUGGAGUUGGCUGAGUAGAACAGGGUAAACAGGUCCUCAGGGGAACCCAAUGUAGUGGUGAUGAGAUGUGGAGACUGAGAUUGGAGUUGGCUGAGUAGAACAGGGUAAACAGGUCCUGAGGGGAAUCCAAUGUAGUGGUGAUGAGAUGUGGAGACUGAGGUUGGAGUUGGCUGAGUAGAACAGGGUAAACAGGUCCUGAGAGGAAUCCAAUGUAGUGGUGAUGAGAUGUGGAGACUGAGGUUGGAGUUGGCUGAGUAGAACAGGGUAAACAGGUCCUGAGAGGAAUCCAAUGUAGUGGUGAUGAGAUGUGGAACAGGAGACAGGAGCCAGAGACAGACUACAAUGAGAGGAUAAACGGUGUCAGGCAGGGGAACAGGCACAGCAGAGUAACAGGAUCUUGAAAAAUCAUAAAUGGCUAAAAUCAUGAACUGGCUGAGCAGAGAUGGAAGUGGCAGGACUGAGUAUUUGUAGAGGUCUUGAUUAUGGAACAAGUUGCAGCUGGUAGGGAUCUGCUCUGACUCCAGCACACCUGUCUCCAACCACACAAUCACACAGAGAGGGAGUAACUGAUGAGUUUCAGAAGAAAAGUAUUUGUUUCUGGCCUUUUUGAGCCUGUACUCGAACCUACAAAUGCUGAUGCUCCAGAUACUCAACUAGUCUAAAGGAGGCCAGUUGUAUUGCUUCUUUAAUCAUGACAACAGUUAAGCUGUGAUAACUUAAUUGCAAAAGGAUUGCAAAAGGAUUUUCUAAUGAUAAAUUAGCCUUUUAAAGUUAUAAACUUGGAUUAGCUAACACAACGUGCCACUGGAACACAGGAGUGAUGGUUGCUGAUAAUGGGCCUCUGGACGCCUAUGUAGAUAUUCCAUUAAAAAAAUAAUCCUUUUCCAGCUACAAUAGUCAUUUACAACAUCAACAAUGUCUACACUGUAUUUCUGAUCAAUUCUAUGUUAUUUUAAUGGACAAAAAAAUGUGCUUUUCGUUCAAAAAACAAGGACAUUUCUACGUGACCACAAACUUUUGAAUGGUCGUGUAUGUUCUCCCUGUCUAGAUUUUAAAGUAGCCAUUUCCUGCAGUCAAAUGAGCCAGUAGCCUCAUGGGUGGAAUGUUAGUUGUUUGUCCUAAUUGCAUAAUUAAUAAACAUAAAAAAAUGAAAAUAAUUGAAUGCUGAAAAUCUGGUGUUUCUAUGUCAAACCGUUUUGUUAUAUUUCAGUCUUCUGUGAUAUAUUGGGAUUCUGGGAUAUAUAAGUGUAAUAUUGGGAUGCAAACUCGAAAUUGAAAACAUUUCAACUCUAUAUCUGACAUGGUACAGGUGUCUUCUUGUUGUUUCAGCCCAUACCCAUGUAUGUGAGGUGUAUACUUUGGUUUCAAUGUCGAUUUUGUUAAAGAAUAUCUGAUUUUGACCCUGAUUUUAGCCCACUGUAUGUGGCAUCAUAGAUUUGGUUAAUGAUGAUGAUUUAAGUCACCCUACGACCAAUGUUGUUAUUCUGUUGAGGCAGAGAGAGAGAGAGACGCUGCUGGAAUAAAGUCAUUGGUUUAAAUGUU